UGUGAGCACUAAGAUUUCGCCCUAUAUAACGUACUAUACAAAACAAAACAAAACAAAACAAAACAAAACAAAACAAAACAAAACAAAACAAAACAAAACAAAACAAAACAAAACAAAACAAAACAAAACAAAACACACAACAAAACACAAAACAACAACCAAACAACACAAAACAACACAAAACAAAACAACACAAAACAACACAAAACAACACAAAACAAAACAAAACAACACAAAACAACACAAAACCAAACCACACAACACCACAAAACACCACAAAACAAAACACAAAACACAAAAAAAAACCCAAAAAACAAAACACAACACACAACACAACACAACACAACACAACACAACACAACACAACACAACACAACACAACACAACACAAAACAAACUAGAUCUCCAAAAAAAA
rnacentral:lncRNA from 1 species